UACAGAGGUUCCAAGCGUUGUUCGGAUUCACUGGGCGUAAAGGGUGCGUAGGCGGUCGGGUAAGUCUGACGUGAAAUCUCCGGGCCUAACCCGGAAACUGCGUUGGAAACUGCCUGGCUAGAGGAAUGGAGGGGAGACUGGAAUACUUGGUGUAGCAGUGAAAUGCGUAGAUAUCAAGUGGAACACCAGUGGCGAAGGCGAGUCUCUGGACAUUUCCUGACGCUGAGGCACGAAAGCCAGGGGAGCAAACGGG
rnacentral:rRNA from 1 species